GUGAAUCACUGGAGGAGAGAUUCUCGACAUUGACAAAUCGUGGAGCUGUGAUAGAGGCGGCGUCGCCGUCAAUUGAAGAGCCAACUCCGUCGUCAUGGCGGCUUUCAUUGUCUUCCGAAACUCCAAAACGACACCGCAGCGCGGAAGAACCAUCACCGGCUGAGUUGUCAUGGCUCUCUCUCUCUACGGAACCAACACCAGUGAAUCCUCCGAAACGACAACGCACUGCCGCCGAGUGGCAAGCAUCGACGGUCCACUUUGAAUAUGAAUUGACUAUCUCCCCAAUCCCUAUGUUCCCUGAGCUGCACAGCGCCCAUCACUCAACUACUACUCCACAGCUUCAACACCAGAAGGAACCAACCGAGUUGUUAAGGCUUUCUCUGUCUUCAGAACCAACAAAACCUCGUGGCCCAGUUAAAGGUGAUCAAGACCAGUGGCUGUCUCUGUCUGUGCUGCCAACACUGCCAUCCACUUCAGAACUCUGAACUCUGAACCAUCCACUUCAGAGUUUAGUCGAGACAGAGAGGUUUGGGUAUGAGCCUGUCUUCAUCUGCUAUUUACUCAUCAAUCUAUGGAAUCAAUGAAGGCAUGGUGCUUUGGAUCUGGUAGGUGCUUGAGAUUGGCUACAUGAUGAUGGGGAAUAAUGGUAUCAAAGCUGCUUUGUAGUCCUCCACAUUGUUCAUCCUCAAUUGAUUCAAUUGUUGUAGCAGAACAUUGGUGGUAUCAGCUAACUAGGAAAUGCAAAUUAAGUGGGGACUGUAGACUUUCCACUCUGAAAGGUUACAUGUUCUGACCAAGUGGGGUACAUACUGAUAUAUGCUAUGUCUCCAUAGUUGUACUCUUGCCUAUACUCUUUUCCUAUGAUCAUAUGUGGUGGUUGAUGAGAGUCUUCUAAUUCAUUAGAAAGUAGCGUGAGUCUCUUUAGAGGUUGCUGCAGGAUCAGGCUCUAUCCGAAAAGCAUUUCUAUUCAUCAAGACUGAUCAAUGAGAUUGGUUUGAAGCAACCACUUGAAACGCUGUUGGAGUUUCAACUUCGAGUUUUAAAGUGUGAGAAUCAAGGAUUUUAUUGUUGCUUCCGUUUACAGGGGGAACUAUAAACUCUCCACUUGAAUGGUUGCAGAUUCGGGCAAAGUUGGGUACAUGCUGAUCUGACUGACUUUGAGACGACUGCAAAAAGCUAGAAGUCAGGCUAAGAGUUCUAGGUGAUGCGGCAGGCAAAGAGAGAAAAAGACUUUGUCAAGAGGAACCAACUGACUUGUUAAGGCUUUCUCUGUCUUCAGAACCAACAAAACCUCGUGGCCCAGUUAAAGGUGAUCAAGACCAGUGGCUGUCUUUGUCUUAGCAACCAACACUACCAUUCACAUCAUUUAGCUAUUUAUUAGUGAGA